GAUCAUGGCUCAGGACGAACGCUGGCGGCGUGCUUAACACAUGCAAGUCGAACGUGAUUUUUAAGGAGAGCCCUUCGGGGAAGGAAUUAAAAUGAAAGUGGCGAACGGGUGAGUAACACGUGAGCAACCUACCUUACACAGGGGGAUAGCCGUUGGAAACGACGAUUAAUACCGCAUGAGACCACAGAAUCGCAUGAUAUAGGGGUCAAAGAUUUAUCGGUGUAAGAAGGGCUCGCGUCUGAUUAGCUAGUUGG
rnacentral:rRNA from 1 species